AUUGAACGCUGGCGGCAGGCCUAACACAUGCAAGUCGAGCGGUAACACAGGGAGCUUGCUCCCGGGUGACGAGCGGCGGACGGGUGAGUAAUGUCUGGGAAACUGCCUGAUGGAGGGGGAUAACUACUGGAAACGGUAGCUAAUACCGCAUAAUGUCGCAAGACCAAAGAGGGGGACCUUCGGGCCUCUUGCCAUCAGAUGUGCCCAGAUGGGAUUAGCUAGUAGGUGGGGUAACGGCUCACCUAGGCGACGAUCCCUAGCUGGUCUGAGAGGAUGACCAGCCACACUGGAACUGAGACACGGUCCAGACUCCUACGGGAGGCAGCAGUGGGGAAUAUUGCACAAUGGGCGCAAGCCUGAUGCAGCCAUGCCGCGUGUAUGAAGAAGGCCUUCGGGUUGUAAAGUACUUUCAGCGGGGAGGAAGGCGAUAAGGCUAAUAACCUUGUCGAUUGACGUUACCCGCAGAAGAAGCACCGGCUAACUCCGUGCCAGCAGCCGCCGCGG
rnacentral:rRNA from 1 species